UGGCUAAAAGCAAUUAGCCCUUCCUUAUCUAGGGGAACUUCAUGUUUUUGGUAGCUGGGGCUCACUAGCCUGAUCUAAGUAUCACCAGGUUCACAAAGAGAACUCUGCAGUGCCACCUCUUUCUGGAAGAGGAUCCUGAAGACAUUAAUUGUGAGAUACUUGAGAGCAAAUUUGAAGAAUUGGCUAAACGUUCCCUCUCCAGUCUCCAUCAAGUGCCCUGCAGGGAGACGUGAACACCCCAUGAGAAGAGGGUUCGACUAAGGAGCUGACACCAACUAGUCUCCAAACCCGAUGUGUCACCAACACGGAGAGGUGAAACGGACAAACAAGCAAAUAAACAGACAGAGCCCAACUAGGCAAUAAACAGAUCCUCAGAUUGAGCCAAGGCUGGAAACUUACUUGGUAG